UGAACGCUAGCGGCAGGCUUAANACAUGCAAGUCGAGGGGUAUAGUUCUUCGGAAUUAGAGACCCGGCGCACGGGUGCGUAACGCGUAUGCAAUCUACCUUUCACAGAGGGAUAGCCCAGAGAAAUUUGGAUUAAUACCUCAUAGUAUAGCAGUUUCGCAUGAAACCACUAUUAAAGUCACAACGGUGAAAGAUGAGCAUGCGUCCCAUUAGCUAGUUGGUAAGGUAACGGCUUACCAAGGCAACGAUGGGUAGGGGUCCUGAGAGGGAGAUCCCCCACACUGGUACUGAGACACGGACCAGACUCCUACGGGAGGCAGCAGUGAGGAAUAUUGGACAAUGGGCGCAAGCCUGAUCCAGCCAUGCCGCGUGCAGGAUGACGGUCCUAUGGAUUGUAAACUGCUUUAUACAGGAAGAAACACUACUUCGUGAAGUAGCUUGACGGUACUGUAAGAAUAAGGAUCGGCUAACUCCGUG
rnacentral:rRNA from 1 species